rnacentral:tRNA from 1 species
ACCUGGGUGGCUUAGUUGGUUAAGCUUCUGCCUUUGGUUCAGGUCAUAAUCUUAGGGUCUUGGGAUCGAGCCCCACCUCAGGCU